rnacentral:rRNA from 1 species
UCAAGUUAUUAAGGGUGCAGGGCGGAUGCCUUGGCACUAGGAGCCGAUGAAGGACGUGAUAAGCUGCGAUAAGCUUCGGGGAGUUGCACGUAAACUUUGAUCCGAAGAUUUCCGAAUGAGGAAACUCACUUAGAGUAAUGUCUAAGUAUCAUUAAGUGAAUACAUAGCUUAAUGAGGGGAACUCAGGGAACUGAAACAUCUAAGUACCUGAAGGAAGAGAAAGAAAUUCGAUUCCGUAAGUAGCGGCGAGCGAACGCGGAUUAGCCCAAACCAAUAAAGUUUUCUUUAUUGGGGUUGCGGACAUAUCAUAACGAAGAGGUAUCAUAAUUGAAGAGGUUUGGAAAGACCCACCACAGAAGGUAAUAGUCCUGUAUGUUAAACGAGAAGACUUUAGAUAUGAUCCAGAGUACCACGGGACACGUGAAACCCUGUGGGAAGCAGGAGGGACCACCCUCCAAGGCUAAAUACUACCUAGUGACCGAUAGCGUAUAGUACCGUGAGGGAAAGGUGAAAAGAACCCCGGGAGGGGAGUGAAAUAGAACCUGAAACCCUGCACUUACAAGCUGUGGAAGCACAUUUCUUGUGUGACCGCGUACUUUUUGUAGAACGGGCCAACGAGUUACGUUAAGUAGCAAGGUUAAGCACUUAAGGUGUGGAGCCGUAGCGAAAGCGAGUUUUAACUGAGCGUUCAGUUACUUGACGUAGACCCGAAACCGGGCGACCUACCCAUGAGCAGGAUGAAGCGAAAGUAAAAUUUCGUGGAGGUCCGAACCCACGAGCGUUGAAAAGCUCGGGGAUGACUUGUGGGUAGCGGUGAAAUUCCAAUCGAGCCCGGAGAUAGCUGGUUCUCCCCGAAAUAGCUUUAGGGCUAGCCUCAAGGUGAGAGAUACGGAGGUAGAGCACUGAAUGUCCUAGGGGGUAUUGCACCUACCGAAGACUAUCAAACUCCGAAUGCCGUCAUCUUAUACUUGGGAGUCAGACUGUGGGUGAUAAGAUUCAUAGUCGAAAGGGCAACAGCCCAGAUCGUCAGCUAAGGUCCCUAAAUGUAAGUUAAGUGGUAAAGGAUGUGGGAUUGCACAGACAACCAGGAUGUUGGCUUAGAAGCAGCCACUCAUUCAAAGAGUGCGUAAUAGCUCACUGGUCGAGUGAUCCUGCGCCGAAGAUUUCCGGGGCUAAAACUUACUACCGAAGCUACGGCAUCAGUAAUGAUGGGUAGGGGAGCUUCCCAUACGGGUUGAAGCAUGACCGUAAGGACAUGUGGACAGUAUGGGAGUGAGAAUGUUGGCAUGAGUAGCGAGAUGUGGGUGAGAAUCCCACAGGCCGUAAACCCAAGGUUUCCAGGGGAAGGUUCGUCCGCCCUGGGUUAGUCGGGACCUAAGCUGAGGCCGAAAGGCGUAGGUGAUGGACAACAGGUUGAUAUUCCUGUACUACCGAUAACCGUUUGAGAGAUGGGAUGACACAGUAGGAUAAGCUAAGCACACUGUUGGUUAUGUGUGCCCAAGCAUUGAGGCAGUCAAAGUAGGCAAAUCCGCUUUGAUAAUGCUGGGAUGUGAUGGGGAGCGAAAUUUAGUAGCGAAGUAGCUGAUUUCACACUGUCAAGAAAAGUCUCUAUCGAGGUUAAAGGUACCCGUACCGCAAACCGACACAGGUGGGUGAGGAGAGUAUCCUAAGGCCAGCGAGAGAACUGUUGUUAAGGAACUCGGCAAAAUGACCCCGUAACUUAGGGAUAAGGGGUGCCACCAUCAGGUGGCCGCAGAGAAUAGGCCCAAGCGACUGUUUACCAAAAACAUAGGUUUCUGCUAAGUCGCAAGACGAUGUAUAGGAGCUGACGCCUGCCCGGUGCUGGAAGGUUAAGGGGAUCUGUUAGAGCAAUCGAAGCAGUGAACUUAAGCCCCAGUAAACGGCGGCCGUAACUAUAACGGUCCUAAGGUAGCGAAAUUCCUUGUCGGGUAAGUUCCGACCCGCACGAAAGGCGUAACGAUUUGGGCACUGUCUCAACGAGAGACUCGGUGAAAUUUUAGUACCUGUGAAGAUGCAGGUUACCCGCGACAGGACGGAAAGACCCCAUGGAGCUUUACUGUAGUUUGAUAUUGAGUGUUUGUACCACAUGUACAGGAUAGGUAGGAGCCGAUGAGACCGGAACGCUAGUUUCGGAGGAGGCGCUGGUGGGAUACUACCCUUGUGUUAUGAACCCUCUAACCCGCACCACUAAUCGUGGUGGGAGACAGUGUCAGAUGGGCAGUUUGACUGGGGCGGUCGCCUCCUAAAAGGUAACGGAGGCGCCCAAAGGUUCCCUCAGAAUGGUUGGAAAUCAUUCGAAGAGUGUAAAGGCAGAAGGGAGCUUGACUGCGAGACCUACAAGUCGAGCAGGGACGAAAGUCGGGCUUAGUGAUCCGGUGGUUCCGCAUGGAAGGGCCAUCGCUCAACGGAUAAAAGCUACCCUGGGGAUAACAGGCUUAUCUCCCCCAAGAGUCCACAUCGACGGGGAGGUUUGGCACCUCGAUGUCGGCUCGUCGCAUCCUGGGGCUGUAGUCGGUCCCAAGGGUUGGGCUGUUCGCCCAUUAAAGCGGCACGCGAGCUGGGUUCAGAACGUCGUGAGACAGUUCGGUCCCUAUCCGUCGCGGGCGUUGGAAAUUUGAGAGGAGCUGUCCUUAGUACGAGAGGACCGGGAUGGACUUACCGCUGGUGUACCAGUUGUUCUGCCAAGGGCAUUGCUGGGUAGCUAUGUAGGGAAGGGAUAAACGCUGAAAGCAUCUAAGUGUGAAGCCCACCUCAAGAUGAGAUUUCCCAUUUCUUUAAGAAAGUAAGACCCCUGAGAGAUGAUCAGGUAGAUAGGUUGGAAGUGGAAGGCUAGUGAUAGUUGGAGCGGACCAAUACUAAUCGGUCGAGGACUUAACCAA